GAUGAACGCUGGCGGCGUGCCUAAUACAUGCAAGUCGAGCGAACAGAUGAGGAGCUUGCUCCUCUGACGUUAGCGGCGGACGGGUGAGUAACACGUGGAUAACCUACCUAUAAGACUGGGAUAACUUCGGGAAACCGGAGCUAAUACCGGAUAAUAUAUUGAACCGCAUGGUUCAAUAGUGAAAGACGGUUUUGCUGUCACUUAUAGAUGGAUCCGCGCCGCAUUAGCUAGUUGGUAAGGUAACGGCUUACCAAGGCAACGAUGCGUAGCCGACCUGAGAGGGUGAUCGGCCACACUGGAACUGAGACACGGUCCAGACUCCUACGGGAGGCAGCAGUAGGGAAUCUUCCGCAAUGGGCGAAAGCCUGACGGAGCAACGCCGCGUGAGUGAUGAAGGUCUGCGGAUCGUAAAACUCUGUUAUUAGGGAAGAACAAAUGUGUAAGUAACGAUGCACGUCUGGACGGUACCUAAGCAGAAAGCCACGGCUAACUACGG
rnacentral:rRNA from 1 species